rnacentral:rRNA from 1 species
UACGUAGGGUGCGAGCGUUGUCCGGAAUUAUUGGGCGUAAAGGGCUCGUAGGCGGUUUGUCGCGUCGGGAGUGAAAACACACAGCUUAACUGUGUGCUUGCUUCCGAUACGGGCAGACUAGAGGUAUGCAGGGGAGAACGGAAUUCCUGGUGUAGCGGUGAAAUGCGCAGAUAUCAGGAGGAACACCGGUGGCGAAGGCGGGUCUCUGGGCCGAUACUGACGCUGAGGAGCGAAAGCGUGGGGAGCAAACAGG